GCAUGUGAAACUGCUGUUAUAAAGCCACAAUACCAGCAAAGAAGGGUAUUAAAAGGGCUUUCAAACUAACAAGGAGAGGAGCAAAAGAGCAGGCCUGCGAUGACAACCAGCCUCAGCUAACAGUCCAAAUUGCCAGGAAUGUCCAUAGGGAUGGGACAGCUUCAAGGUCAAGCCAGAAAGACAAGUCCAUGGUCUUCAUUGCACAGAGCAACAGGAGAAGAGGAGCAAGUCCAAGCUCAAAAGAAGAAGUCAAUCAACUCGUCAUCUAUGAUCCUCUCAUAGUGAACAGAGAAAGGUGAAAGGUCUUCUGGAGAAAGACAGCAGAGGAGAAGUUCCUUUUAUGCCCUCUGGGAACCUCUCUGUCCUCAUCAAUACAGACACCUAGAAAGUCCCUAGACUACUAAUUUUGGCAUCUAACAUCCCUGAAGCAGGGAGGUGUGAUUAUAGCCAAGAAUGAUUUAUCUCUUGGAAUCUGGGGAACAAUAAUGCAACUGGAUCUGUUUGUGGUGCCCUAGGUGACCUCUUCCUUGCUGUGUUUCUAAGAACUUCUUUUUGUCCUCUGGAAGACAGCAUUAAAAUUUUCCCUUUUUUGAACUGAUUGGUUGACACAGUCUGAAUGGGUG